AUUGAACGCUGGCGGCAGGCCUAACACAUGCAAGUCGAGCGAGCGGCGGACGGGUGAGUAAUGUCCGGGAACCUGCCUGAUGGAGGGGGAUAACUACUGGAAACGGUAGCUAAUACCGCAUACCAUCAGAUGUGCCCAGAUGGGAUUAGCUAGUAGGUGGGGUAACGGCUCACCUAGGCGACGAUCCCUAGCUGGUGUGAGAGGAUGACCAGCCACACGGGACCUGGGAAACGGUCCAGAUUCCAACGGGAGGAAGCGGUGGGAAAUAUUGUCAAAUGGGGGAAAGCCGGAUGCGGCCAUGCCGCGUGUGUGAGAAAGGCCUUCGGGUGUUAAAGCACUUUCAGCGGGGAGGCGGUACCCGCAGAAGAAGCACCGGCUAACUCCGUGCCAGCAGCCGCGGUAAUAC
rnacentral:rRNA from 1 species